CGCCACGGCUCGGUGGUGGCGCCUCCCGGGGCGGCCGGCGCAAGCGCAGCGCCGCGCUGGCCCGGAUCGCUAUGGCAGCGGCGUCGCCGCGGCUUGGGCUCCCGAGCUCGCGCGGGGCCCGGCCGCCUGUGUAGCCGCCCGCUCGGCCGCCUCUCGGGCAUGAGCGGGGCCUCCCGCUGCUCUGCCCGCCGCCGCCGCCGCCGGGAACAUGCCCCUGGCCGCCUACUGCUACCUGCGGCCCGUGGGCAGGGGCAGCUACGGGGAAGUGACGCUCGUAAGGCACCGGCGGGACGGCAGGCAGUAUGUCAUCAAAAAACUGAACCUCCGAAAUGCGUCCAGCCGAGAGAGGCGAGCUGCUGAGCAAGAAGCCCAGCUCUUGUCGCAGCUGAAACACCCGAACAUUGUGACCUACAAGGAAUCGUGGGAGGGCGGGGACGGUCUGCUGUACAUUGUCAUGGGCUUCUGUGAAGGAGGCGAUCUGUACAGAAAGCUCAAGGAGCAGAAGGGGCGGCCUCUACCCGAGAGUCAGGUGGUGGAGUGGUUUGUUCAGAUCGCGAUGGCGCUGCAGUAUUUACACGAAAAACACAUCCUUCACCGAGAUCUCAAGACUCAAAAUGUCUUCCUUACCAGAACAAAUAUCAUCAAAGUUGGGGACCUAGGAAUUGCCCGCGUGUUAGAGAACCACUGUGACAUGGCUAGCACCCUCAUCGGCACACCCUACUACAUGAGCCCCGAGCUGUUCUCCAACAAGCCCUACAACUAUAAGUCUGAUGUUUGGGCUCUGGGAUGCUGUGUUUAUGAAAUGGCCACUCUGAAGCAUGCUUUCAACGCAAAAGACAUGAAUUCUUUAGUUUAUCGAAUUAUUGAAGGAAAGCUGCCACCCAUGCCGAAAGAUUAUAGCCCAGAGCUGGCAGGAUUGAUAAGGUCGAUGCUGAGCAAAAGGCCUGAAGAGAGACCGUCUGUGCGCAGCAUCCUGAGGCAGCCGUACAUAAAGCGCCAAAUAGUCUUGUUCUUGGAGGCCACAAAGGCAAAAACGUCCAAAAAUAACAUUAAAAAUGGUGACUCUAAAUCCAAGCCUGUUGCUACAGUGGUUCCUGGAAAGGCUGACUCAAACCACGAGGCUGUUCCCUCCCGACAGUGCGCGUCUGAGGGCUCCAAGACAUGUAUGAUGGCUGAAGACCGAUGUUUGUCCCAGGAGAAACCCAUAGUUGUUGGGCCCUUGAAGACACCUGCAAAUAUGAGAGACCCCACGUGCAAAGCAGACCUGAGCAGCACUGCAGAAUCCCUGGCCACAAUCAGCAGGGUGGAUAUUGACCUCCUACCUGCAGAGAGGAGGGACUCAGGGAGCAAAGUGGUUCACGAGGAUCAGCCAAGAGGCGCAGAGGCUGUGAAUGAGCUAGAAAGUGAACGCGCUCUUUCUCAAAUGAAGGAGAGGCUUCAGGAUGGCACUGCGCCCAGCCCUCAGCCUGGAGCCCUCACUCCCACGUGCUCCUCUGAUGAUGUUGCUGGGCAAAGGAAUGUUCCAGUGAAGCCUCUGCAGCCCCUGAACAUAAACCAAAAGCCGAAGGACCAGGAUCAAGUUUCUGAUGAAUGUAUUCCGGAGAAGCAGGACAGGAUUCAUCGAGGCUUACUGCCACACAGUUCUGGGUCUGACCCUUCUUUGUCUCGACAGCGACGGCAGAGGAAACAAGAACAGACAGAGCACCGUGGGGAAAAGAGAGAGUUCCAAGAGGCUCUUCCUCAACAUUUGCCUUCUCUUCCUACUUCUGGAAAAGGGGAUGUCACGCCAGCACAAACGAAUGCUGAAAGGCAGAGCACGGUGGUCUCUGUCUCUGUGAGCAGUUCAAGGGGCACGGAGGUCUCAUCGUCAAAGGACCGACCGUUAUCAGCAAGAGAGAGAAGGCGGCUGAAGCAGUCACAAGAAGAAACGCACCCUGCAGGCCCUUCCCUGAGGAGAGCUUCUCUGAGUGCAGCGGGGUCAGGGAACCCACGAGAGGAAGGAGAGCCCAGCCCUUCCCCGUGUCUGACUUCUGACUCUGGUGCUGCUCAGGAAAGGAAGCCGCCCCAUGGUCUCUCUGAGGAUGAGUUAAGUUCUUCUACAAGUUCAACUGAUAAAUCAGAUGGGGAUUCCAGGGAAGGGAAAGGUCAUACAAAUGAAAUGAGUGACUUGGUACAGAUGAUGACUCAAACCCUAAAAUUGGAUUCUAAAGAGAGCUGUGAAGAUCUGCCAAUACCAGAUCCAGUGUCAGAAUUUAAACUUCAUCGCAAGUAUCGGGACACGCUGAUACUUCAUGGUAAAGUUGCAGAGGAGGUGGAGGAGCUUCGUUUUAAAGAGCUACCUUCAGCUAUCAUGCCCGGUUCUGAAAAGAUCCGAAGAAUAGUUGAAGUCUUGAGAGCUGAUGUAAUCCAGGGCCUGGGGAUUCAGCUCUUGGAGCAGGUGUACGAUCUUUUGGAAGAGGAGGAUGAAUUGGAGAGGGAGGAAUAACUCCUGGCAGUGCUCGGGGGACCAUGUGGGAUGCUGGGAAUGGAACCCAGUCGGCUUCGUGCAAUGCAAAUGCCCUACCUGCUGUGCUAUCACCCGCUCCAGCACCUGAUAUCAGCCUCUGAAGGUACGUUUACGGGAGCAUAUGGGUGAAAAGUAUACGACUUACAGUGUGAAAGCUCGCCAGUUGAAAUUUUUUGAAGAAAAUGUGAAUUUUUGAUAAUUUAUUCUAUUUUGCUGCCAGAACAAAAGACCUAUUUUCAAAUGUUUUUGGCUUAAACAAAAACAGACCCGGAACAAUACCUGGAGGCCGGCCAUUCACCAUGCUCUAUCUCUGGGACGUUUUUACCAGAAAAAAAUUAGAGCAAACAGAGUAACAUGAAAAAAACUCACUGAAAAAAGAAAAAACAUUUAGCAGUCUUACUCACUGUAUAAGGAAAAGGUCUGUUAUAAGACAUUUUUUUUGGUUUACUGUUUACUGAGCCUUAAACACCAACUUAGUUAUCUAGAACUUGAUUUUUUUUUUAAUGCUAUUUAGUUUGAAUCCAGGACCAUAAAAUAAUUGUUUGGAAGUUUUACAUACUAUAGUGAUAAAAGCAAUAGGAGAAAUAAAUGUUGCCAGUGAUACUUUUUGUAAAUAACCUUAGGUAGUAAUUGAUACAUUAUCUUUUUUAAAAAGCCAAUUCAUGAUUCUCUAAGUAUAUUUAGAGACUAUAAAAUUGUACCUAGCAACUGAAUUCCUUUUAUACAUAUUGAUAUAAAUGUAACAUUUUGUUUCCAUAUAUGAACUUCAUUUGGAGAAUACAAGAAUUAAAAGUUAUUUUUGGCUUUGUAAAUCAAUGUUCUCUACAUAGUUUUAUUUUUACGUUGUCUGUGUUCAGCAAAAAAAUAUAUAUAUUUUUUGCUUUUUGGGUCACACCCAGCAAUGCACAGGGGUGACUCCUGGCUCAUGCACUCAGGAAUCACCCCUGGCGGUGCUCAGGGGACCAUAUGGGAUGCUGGAAUUGAACCUGGGUCAGCCGAGUGCAAGGCAAACGCCCUACCCACUGUGCUAUCACUCCAGCCCCGCAAAAAUAUAUAUAUUUUUUUUCAAAAAUGUUUCUUAAAGCUCCGAUUUUGUGGCUGGAGUUAUAGUACAGCGGGGAGGGCGCUUGCUUUACAAGCAGCUGACCUGGGUUAGAUCCCUGGCACCCCAUAUGGCACCCUGAGCACCACUGGAGUGAUUCCUGAGUUCAGAGCCAGGAGUAAGCCUGAGCACGGCCAAAUUUAACCCCCUAAACACCCCCCCACAAAAAAAAAACCACCAGUAAUCUCUUCUCCAAUUAAGCAGUUUUUAAAGUCCAGAUUCUUUGUUAUGUUAAAUGUCAAAGUACAUCAACAUAGUGUUUAUCUUUCCACAUUUCUGUGAUGUCACGUUUUAUCAAUUGUUUAAUUAGGGAUAAUGAAAUCACUAUCACUGUAUCACUGUCAGCCCGUUGCUCAUCGAUUUGCUUGAGCGGGCACCAGUAACAUCUCCAUUGUGAGACUUGUUACUGUUUUUGGCAUAUUGAAUACGCCAUGGGUAAUUUAACUUCUGUAUUAAAGGGGAUCUAAAAAUGACUGUUGGGCUGGCCAGGGGGAUAGUUCGGGGCCUGAAGCACAUGCUGCUUUGCAUAUGUGAUCCCCUGGUUUGAGGCCAACCCACAAUCCCUUGAGCUUUGCUGGGAGUGACUGGAGUUCAUGUGUCGUCAGGUGUGGUCCCCAAACCAAAAGUGAUUACUGCUCCAGAAUGUCUUCUGCCUCAUAUUAAAAAGUGUAACUGAGCUUCCUUGAAAAUCACACAUAAAAUGCUGUGAAGUUUUUUCUUCACUUAAAUUACAUAAGUCUAGUUUUCACUGUUUGCCAAGUGCUAUCACAGAAGCAGGGGCAUGAUCGUGAGUUAAAAUGCUCUCUACCCCUGAUAAUGUUCCUUGCCUGGUUCUGACAUCUCUUAUUUUUUGUUAGAACUUGGUUAUAAAACCAUCGAAAUCCCAGAGCCCAGUGGGGGCAAAUUUUUGGCAAUAUGUGGGUCUUCCAUGGUUUUCAAUGAUUAAUGAGAUAUUAACAUCUUUGAACUCAUCUUUAAAAAAAAAAUGGGGGGGCAGUUCUAUAAUGGUUUCUCAAGGACACUUCCAGCAUCAUACCCCAUCACGACUGUACCCAUCUCCCUCCACUCCUUGCCCUGCUUCCCUCUUAGCAGCCCUCCAGCUCAGUUGUGUGUGUCUCUUCCCAUUAUGUUGUCUAUGGGUCUUUUUUUGCUGCCUUGCUUUAACUCACCAUCUUUUGGGAAACCCAUUCAGUUUCUGACUUACGAAGUCAUAUUUUCUUAGGAUUAAAAAAACUUCUGCCUAUUCUCAUUCGGUAAAUUCUUCUUUAAAAAUUCAUUCUGGUGGCUAUAGCAAUAGUACUGCAGGUAGGGCAUUUGCCUUGCAUGCAGUCGACCCAGGUUCGAUUCCCAUAUGGUUCCCUGAGCACCGCCAGGAGUAAUUCCUGAAUGCAAAGCCAGGAGUAACCCCUGUGUAUCGUCGCCAGGUGUGACCCAAAAAGCAAAAAAAAAAAAAACCAAAAAAAAAAUUCAUUCUGGGGGCCGGAGCAAUAGCAUAGUUGGCAGGGUUUUAACUUUGCACCCAGUUUUGAUCCCUGGCAUCCCAUACAGUCUCCUAAGUACCACCAGGAGUAACCCCUGAGCAUUUGCCAGGUAUGAUCCAAACCACUGUAUCACUGUCAUCCCGUUGCUCAUUGAUUUGCUUGAGCGGGCACCAGUAAUGUCUCCAUUGUGAGACUUAUUACUGUUUUUGGCAUAUCAUAUAUGCCACAAGUAGCUUGCCAGGCUCUGCCGUGCAGGCGAGAUACUCUUGGUAGUUUGCCGGGCUCUCCGAGAGGGGCGGAGGAAUCGAACCUGGGUUGGCCUCAUGCAAGGCAAACGCCCUACCUGCUGUGCUAUCUCCAGCCCAAAAUAUAAACUUAGACUAACGAAUGGCUUUUUCAAUUGGAUAAUAUUAGAAACAAAAAAUAACAUUCAUGAAGCACAUUUUCUUGUCUAAGUUUUAAAUUAGGGAUAGUCAUAUAAUUUUUCUCUAUUGAAAAGAACUAGCCAUUAAUUCUAUUUCUUUGACCCCGAUUGCUCAGGGUCACACCUGGCAGAGCUCAGAGGCUACUCCUGGCUCUGUUCAGGGGUCAUCCCUGGUGUUCUUGGGUGACUGACCUGGAGUUAGCUGCAUUCAAAGCAAGUAAUUUAAUGCAUGUACUAUCUUGCCAGCCCUAAUUUUAUUUCUUUUUUUUUAUUUUAUUGAAUCACCAUGUGGAAAAUUACAAAGUUCUCAGGCUUAUGUCUCAGUUAUA